UUUUUGGAGAUUCUUUCUGCACUUGUUGAUUUUUACAUCCUCUGCUAUUAUGUCCUUUCCCUUGACAGUUGCUGCAAGUCAUAAUUACACCAUGCUUUGUGAGUUUCCCAUCCUUCUCUUCUGGAGCUCUUGUUCUUUUCUUCUUUGGUCUGCCAAUCCUUUUCCUCACAGUUGGAGGUUUCACAGUGAAUCCUUCUACGUCAUGUAGUGACCCGCUCNCACAAGAAGCAUGUUAAGCCACUUUUCCGGUAGAACCCACGGCUUGAAACCUUGAUUAAACGACGAGAACUUUAGCUUUAAACGUAGAUGAACUUGAACAAGCACAGCAUGCUCACAUAGGUAUAGAUUUAGGCCGGUGUACGAGUGAGAAUCGAGGCAAGAAAGGGCGAAGAACUCUGGUUUUGGAAACUGGAAACCCUCGUCGAUCUGCCCAGAAAAUGCCAGAGCAGAGCUGGAAGUUCCAGAGCAGAACUGGAAGUUCCAGAGCAGAGCUGGAAAUACCAGAGCAGAGCUGGAAAUACCAGAGCAGAGCUGGAAAUGCCAGAGCAGAGCUGAAAAUUCCAGAGCAGAACUGGAAAUACCAGAGCAGAGCUGGAAAUUCCAAAGCAGAGCUAGAAACGCCAGAGCAGAGCUGCAAGACCAGAGCACAGCUGGAAAACGCCAGAGCAGAGCUGACUUCAGAGCAAAUAGCCAGAGCUGACUUCGGAGGCCAGAGCUGACUUCCAGAGCAAGUCGCCAGAGCUGACUUUCGGAGGCCAGAGCUGACUUUCCAGAGCUAAGUCGCCAGAGCUGACUUUCGGAGGCCAGAGCUGACUUUCCAGAGCUAAGUCGCCAGAGCUGACUUUCGGAGGCCAGAGCUGACUUUCCAGAGCUAAGUCGCCAGAGCUGACUUUCCAGAGCUAAGUCGCCAGAGCUGACUUUUCAGAGCUAACUCAGCCAGAGCUGACUUAGAAGCCAGAGCUGAUUUCCAGAGCAGAGAGCGAAGAGACAGAGCAGAUCGCGAGAGAAAGAGAGAGAUAAGAACUUAGGGUGUUUGAGUUUUAUUCUUUUUUCCCUUUGCCUACACGAAGGGGGAAAUUAUGUUUAAGUGGCAGUUUAGAACACCCUAAUGAGAACGAAUCAAUAUAGUUAAUUACUUGACUUCACGAGACGAAACCUAGUUGGUUUAAAUUGUUUUUAAUAACAAGGACUAGUGAUAAAGUUUCCCUAAGUAUUGUCUCAGUAAUAAAAAGGGAAUAUGAGUCAUGCAUAUUCACUAUACGCAUUCUCAUUUAUUUGAGAAUUUUCUUCGAGCUAAGGUUUGACCUUAUGUUCUCGCAUUAGGUUAAGCACAAGAGUAAGAGCUAGUCAAGGAGUUAUUGAACUGAAGCAAAGCAUUGCUAUCAGGUGGGCAUUACUUUACUAUACGUAUAUAGAGAUCCCCUGCGUAUCGUAGGCCUCUUAUACGAAUGAAUGCAUGAGAUGAUUUAACUGUUAAUUUCAGUUUUAUAUAUAUCUAUCAAACAAGUUUAAUGCUACCUUUUGAACAAGUUAUUUCGUUACAAAAUCUUUGAAUUAAAGUUAUUUCAAGUAUUGUCUUGCCAUAAAAUGUUUCAAUUUUAGUAUGAUAUCUAUCUGCUUUGGCUUUGCCAAUGAUGUAAUCGAAUUCGGGUCUUGAGCAGUUGAUAGUUAUCCUGCCUUGACUAGUGUACACCAAUGACCGUGAGUCAUCUAGCGGGUUGGCCGGUCAAGUGUUCGUGAGAGGUGGCCACCUCUCCGACACACAGUUCCAGAUAAGAUAGAAUACAAGAGAACUUAGUCUGCAGACGAACUUUAAGAAUCACAAAUGAAUUUAGUAAGCUUGGGCCUAUUUCAUGAAAACUCCCUUGCUGUACUGUUUAUGAUGGCAUGACAAUUUACAGUUUUGAUGCAUGUAUGUUUAUAUUUAGGCAUACGUGCCCACUGAGUACUCUCGUACUCAGCCCUGCAUAUAUUUCUAAAUGUGCAGGUUGAGCAGUGGCUGAUGGAGAUGAAGUGAAGAGCGGAGCUUUUGUCACAAGUUAAAUGAAUGAACUCUUGGAUACAUGUCUUCAUACAUGUAAUCAGAUUAUGUUAUUCCGCUGCGUACUCUUAGGUUUUAUGUUCUUUUAGUUAAGCCAGUUUUGUCUGAACCUACAAGUCUGUUCGAGUCUUGUGACUAAACAUCAGGUGUACUAUAAAUUUUCCCUCCUUUAAACAAAUUUUAGUUCGAUCCUCUAUUAUUUGUUCAUCCCCUUUCUAUCGUCGUCGUUAACUGUGUCCUUAGUUACGUUUUCCUGGCUUAUUUAUCCUUAAUUAAGUCCGGUCGUGACAGAAACUCCCUUUCUAUCACCGUCGAUAACUGUGUCCCUUCGUCGCGGUUUCCCGGCUUAGUUAUCCUCAAUUAAGUCGGGUAGUGGUCCGUGACACGUCAGGCCACAUUUUCUCACCUCUAACUGGUGGCAACCCAAUCUGGUACCCUUCUAAAUAUCUCUUGACAAUGUAGUAGUCAUUCACAUAAUCAACAGGAUCAAGUUUCAUGAAUUGUAUAGAAGAUAUAGCAUGCUUACAAGGGAUACCCGUCAAAUCCCAAAUUCUACAUGUACAUGCACGGUUAGUCACAUCCACCACAAACUUGUCAGCCUCAUCAUGAACCUCAAACUUGCCUCCUAAUGCUGGAAAUGGUAUGCAAUUUCUACUACACCAUUUGGUAACUUCUAAACUCUUCCUAAUGUUUGGCA
rnacentral:lncRNA from 1 species